CCUACGGGAGGCAGCAGUGGGGAAUAUUGGACAAUGGGGGCAACCCUGAUCCAGCCAUGCCGCGUGUGUGAAGAAGGCCCUCAGGUUGUAAAGCACUUUCAGUGAGGAAGAACGCCUGGUGGUUAAUACCCAUCAGGAAAGACAUCACUCACAGAAGAAGCACCGGCUAACUCCGUGCCAGCAGCCGCGGUAAUACGGAGGGUGCGAGCGUUAAUCGGAAUUACUGGGCGUAAAGCGCGCGUAGGUGGCUUGAUAAGCCGGUUGUGAAAGCCCCGGGCUCAACCUGGGAACGGCAUCCGGAACUGUCAAGCUAGAGUGCAGGAGAGGAAGGUAGAAUUCCCGGUGUAGCGGUGAAAUGCGUAGAGAUCGGGAGGAAUACCAGUGGCGAAGGCGGCCUUCUGGACUGACACUGACACUGAGGUGCGAAAGCGUGGGUAGCAAACAGGAUUAGAUACCCCAGUAGUC
rnacentral:rRNA from 1 species